AGUGCAACGCCCAUCCUUUCUGUGACGAUGGGCACGGAGUUUGCAAACAACAGUGUGACAGCUUCGAGCGUGAAAUCCACAGAAGCUGCGGAGGAACUGGCUGCAAGUGUUGCACGACGCGUCUGGCCAGAUGUGAAGACCAGUCUAGUUGCCCUGGCGAGUGCAGGGAUAUGAGAAGAUGUCCUAAUCCAAUUGGAAACUUCUCGUGUAAAGGAAGUAGCUGUAUUUGCUGCGAUACUUGUAGUGAACAGCAGCCGUCUUGUGAUAGUGGAUACGGCACGUGCAGAGUGUCUUGCCUCUCUGAGGAAACUGAGGUAACUGGAGGGUGUAGCAACGGCGCCUGUAAGUGUUGCUCUUUAAGAAUGGUCAGCUGUGCUUCAUCCUCAAAUUGUGCCACUGGAAUAUGUGUUGACAGCAGACAGUGCCUUGUUGAUCUAGCAACGGAAGUGAAUUCAGCAUAUACUUGUAACACAAACUGCACUUGUUGUGACAUAUGUUACCUGCAACAGCCAACCUGCCAUGUUCAAAAUGCAACUGGACUGUGUAAAACAAAAUGUCUCAGUACUGAAUCUUCUAGUAAUGUGUGUACAACUGGUUGCCAGUGUUGUGUUCCACUAUAAGAAAGGGAUGUAAGAGAGGUACUGCUUUAGAGUGAGCGUCGCCGUGUUUGAGCUGUGCUUCACUUCAGUGUCCAGGAACUACUAGCAUCAUUGUACCAACACUUAAUCACGUAACUACCAACUAUGGUACCAUGACUCAUAAAGUAACUUCCAACUAUAGUUCAAACACUCAACAAGUAACUACCAACCAUGGAACCAACACAAAUCAAGUAACCAGCAACCACGGCAGCAACACUCAUCAAGUAACCAAAACGCAUGGUACCAACACUCAUCAGGUAACUUCCAACCAUGAUACCAACUCUCAAGUAACCACCAACCAUGGCAGCCACACUUAACCAAUAACCAACAGCAAUUGCAGCAACACUCAAGUAACCAGCAACCAUUGCAGCAACACUUAUCAAGUAACCAGCAACCACUGCAGCAACACUCAUCAUCUACACCCAUGGUACUAACACUCAUCAAAUAAGCAACAACUAUGGCACCAACACUCAUCAAGUAACUACCAACCAAGGUACAAAACACACAUUAAAACAUACAAACUUACUCUCUGUUAGUAUUAAAAGCAGUUAGGAAAAAUAAGAGCAAACAGAUGUAGAGAGUCUGUAACUGAAAAUAAUAUAUAUGAAACUAUAUGGUGCAGGAGAAGAGUAGUGUUUCAAAUACCCUUUCCCCUUGGCUAGUAUUUUAUAUUCAAUAUUAUGUAAAAUAAGUACUCGAACUGGGAACCAUUUAUGCAAGAAUAAUAAUAAUAAUAAUAAUAAUAAUAAUAAUAGUAAUAUUAUUACGUCCCAGUGCAUUGACGGCAUGUAGAAGUUUUGAAACAAUUCUUUGAUCGAUCACUUACUGUGUUGUCAUGACUGUGGUAUAAUAUCUUUCAUGUUUCUCACUGUGUCAUGAAUGUGGUACAAUAUUUCCCAUGUCUCUUACUGCAAUAUCUCUCAUAUCUCUUACUCUGUUGUCAUGACUGGUUCAAUAUCUUUAAUGUCUCCCGCUGACUGGUGACAUGCUUAAGGUGUAAUAUCUCUAAAGUCUCUCACAGACAUUGUCUCUCUUAACCCUCUCAUUCAUUUUAGUGAUGCCUGUAGUGGAGUAUCUCUUAUAUAUCUUACUGAUUUCGUUUUGAUGCUAGUUAUAAAAUAUCUCACAUACGUCUCACAGAUAUUGAUGAGUGCUUGUCGUGGAAAAUUUCUCGUGACUUUUUGUGUUUUUAUUUUGAUGCUGGUAGUGGAAUGUCUCCCAAGUCUCACUGACCAUGAUGUGAUACUUGUGCUGGAAAUAUUUCUCAUGUCUCUCACUGACAAUAUUGCGCUUCCAGAAUUCUCAAAGUUAACAUGAGUUAAUUCUUGAGUAGAAAUACGAGAUGACUUUAUUUUAGAUUUUCUCAUUAAGCAAUAAUGCAGUCAACGUACUAGUGUUUCUAUCAUUACCCAUGAAAGAAACACUACUAAGUUAGCAAAGUUUGUCAUCAAUAACAUCAAUCAGCAAUCAGUUAGCCACCAGUAGAUCACUUAGUUACAUGGACCAUCAACCAAUCACCAGUAGACAGCUUCACAUUAACAUGCCCUCUUCUACACAGUAAGCGGUAUCAUCGUCACUUAAGACAGUGACUGGAAUCACUACAAACACCAACAUCAAAUACCACUUUCUUGCACAGUUACAGAUGUCACUACCACCACCUCAACUACUACAAUCUACAAAGUGAUCAGUGUAACUACCAUUAUCUACACAGUAACCACUGUCACCACUACCACCAUCAGCAGCCACCAUCAUCUACACAGUAACCACUGUCACCACUACCACCAUCAGCAGCCACCAUCAUCUACACAGUAACCACUGUCACCACUA